rnacentral:tRNA from 1 species
GGUGAAGUGUCCGAGUGGCUGAAGGAGCACGCCUGGAAAGUGUGUAUACAGGAAACUGUAUCAAGGGGUUCGAAUCCCUUCUUCACCGCCA